rnacentral:rRNA from 1 species
AUGCAAGUCGAACGGUGGCUUCGGCCAUAGUGGCGCACGGGUGAGUAACGCGUGGGAAACUGCCCAUCAGUGGGGAAUAACAGAGGGAAACUUCUGCUAAUACCGCAUACGCCCUUCGGGGGAAAGAUUUAUCGCUGAUGGAUGUGCCCGCGUCCGAUUAGGUAGUUGGUGGGGUAAAGGCCUACCAAGCCUACGAUCGGUAGCUGGUCUGAGAGGAUGAUCAGCCACACUGGGACUGAGACACGGCCCAGACUCCUACGGGAGGCAGCAGUGGGGAAUAUUGGACAAUGGGCGAAAGCCUGAUCCAGCAAUGCCGCGUGAAUGAUGAAGGCCUUAGGGUUGUAAAGUUCUUUCGGGUGGGACGAUGAUGACGGUACCACCAGAAGAAGCCCCGGCUAACUUCGUGCCAGCAGCCGCGGUAAUACGAAGGGGGCUAGCGUUGUUCGGAAUUACUGGGCGUAAAGCGCACGCAGGCGGCUCGUUAAAUUAGAAGUGAAAGCCCUGGGCUCAACCCGGGAAUUGCUUUUAAGACUGGCGAGCUUGAAUCCAGAAGAGGGUAGUGGAAUUCCAAGUGUAGAGGUGAAAUUCGUAGAUAUUUGGAAGAACACCAGUGGCGAAGGCGACUACCUGGUCUGGCAUUGACGCUCGUGUGCGAAAGCGUGG